rnacentral:rRNA from 1 species
CCUACGGGUGGCAGCAGUGGGGAAUAUUGGGCAAUGGACGCAAGUCUGACCCAGCAACGCCGCGUGAAGGAAGAAGGCUUUCGGGUUGUACACUUCUUUUAAGGUGGCAGAGCAGAAGACGGUACCCCUUGAAUAAGCCACGGCUAACUACGUGCCAGCAGCCGCGGUCAUAAGUAGGGGGCAAGCGUUGUCCGGAUGUACUGGGUGUAAAGGGCGUGCAGCCGGAGAGACAAGUCAGAUGUGAAAUCCACGGGCUCAACUCGUGAACUGCAUUUGAAACUGUUUACCUUGAGUGUAGGAGAGGUAAGCGGAAGUCCUUGGGUAGCGGUGAAAUGCGUAGAUAUAAGGAAGAACACCAGUGGCGAAGGCGGAUUACUGGACGAUAACUGACGGGGAGGCGCGAAAGCGUGGGGAGCAAACAGGAUUAGAUACCCCAGUAGUC